GACAGAGGGGGCAAGCGUUGCUCGGAAUCACUGGGCGUAAAGGGCGCGUAGGCGGGAUGGCAAGUCGGUCGUGAAAUCCUUCGGCUCAACCGAAGAACGUCGGCCGAUACUGCCGUUCUUGAGGGAUGCAGAGGAGAUUGGAAUUCCCGGUGUAGCGGUGAAAUGUGUAGAGAUCGGGAGGAACACCGGUGGCGAAGGCGGGUCUCUGGGCAUCUCCUGACACUGAGGCACGAAAGCGUGGGGAGCGAACAGG
rnacentral:rRNA from 1 species